GAUGAAUCAAUUGCCUGCCAAGCCCCGGUAUUACCGUGCCGGUGGGGAGGGCAGCGAAAAGAGGAGUUA
rfam:Lampropedia hyalina DSM 16112 genome assembly, contig: EK00DRAFT_scaffold00017.17